CAGUAAAUUAAAAAUUUUUGGCUUUUUGCAUAUAAACUAAUACAAUAAAAAACCAUUUAGAGUCCAUGGGAUAUCGGAUCUUUAGCGGGUAGAAUCCGUUAUGCGGCAGAUGCUUAUUUUAAUCGUCUCCACUCACUAAUCAGCAGCAUUUCGACAGCUGAAACUUUCAAGAAGACUGCUGUUUUGCACCCCUUCUGCGAUUGUUGAUCAUGGGAAACAAGCAAGCAAAGUCUGUAAAGCCACAGAAGGAAGAAGUGCUGUUGAAGAUUGUGCCUCCUAUAGAUCAAGCCUAUGCUCGCUGGCUUUUUCGAGAUCUCGAGAGGAUUCAUGGCAUUGCUCCAAGAAACCCUCGAGCCAUAGAGCCACCAGAGCAUUACAUUGAGUACAUGCGUCUGAAUGGAUGGUUGGAUGUAGACCUGGAUGACCCUGAUCUGGCACACUUGUUCAAGUAAAUGAUCUUUGCUUGUCAAUAUCCAGAAAGAGUCGCACUUAGGCAACUGAUGGAAGAUAAAGCACUGGGACAUGCACCCUCACCAUUCUGUAUAUGGACCCUUUGUUAUAACAUUUUGUAUGAGCUGAAUCAUUAUUCAGACAUAUAAAGAGUGGAUGAGAGUAUAUUAUCGCAGAUUGGGAUCAAUGUUUGCACCUCUUAAGAGCUGCAUUUUUGUAUAGAUAGGAAUUAUCAUUCUUGCUCCAAUUUGCCUAUUGUGAGGCUUUCAUUACAGCGGUAAUGGGUACUCGCCCAAAAGAACAAAAAAUGGCACAUGAUCUCGUAACAUUCUGGCAUUACCAA